rnacentral:rRNA from 1 species
GACGAACGCUGGCGGCGUGCUUAACACAUGCAAGUCGAACGCUGAAGACCUGGCUUUUGUUGGGUUGGGUGAGUGGCGAACGGGUGAGUAACACGUGAGUAACCUGCCCUCUUCUUUGGGAUAACGCCCGGAAACGGGUGCUAAUACUGGAUAUUCACUGAUCUUCGCAUGGGGGUUGGUGGAAAGGUUUGUUCUGGUGGGGGAUGGGCUCGCGGCCUAUCGGCUUGUUGGUGGGGUGAUGGCCUACCAAGGCUUUGACGGGUAGCCGGCCUGAGGGGGUGACCGGUGACAUUGGGACUGAGAUACGGCCCAGAGUUCUACGGGAGGCAGCAGUGGGGAACAUUGGACAAUGGGCGAAAGCCUGAUGCAGCGACGUCGCGUGAGGGAUGGAGGCCUUCGGGUUGGAAACCUCUUUCGCUCAUGGUCAAGCCGCAACUGUGGGUUGUGGUGAGGGUAGUGGGUAAAGAAGCGCCGGCUAACUACGUG